UUCCUCCUUGUCAUGGGGAGCAUAAUAUCCAAUGAACGUAUAGUGAGGAUAUUGAUGCUGGCACCCAUUUGAUGCGUUUCGUCUUUGACGGAAUCAAAACACCCCCGCUCGGGGUAGCCGCUUUCGAACAGUGCGCUGCCUGGGCGGAAUUUUUGGAACG